rnacentral:rRNA from 1 species
UGCGUAGGUGGUUUCUUAAGUCAGAGGUGAAAGGCACGGCUCAACCGUAGUAAGCCUUUGAAACUGAGAGACUUGAGUGCAGGAGAGGAGAGUAGAAUUCCUAGUGUAGCGGUGAAAUGCGUAGAUAUUAGGAGGAAUACCAGUUGCGAAGGCGGCUCUCUGGACCGUAACUAACACUGAGGCACGAAAGCGUGGGGAGCAAACA